AGCUAGCGUGGCGUAGUGGUUUGAGUGUUGGACUAUGAAUCUGGAGAGCAGGGUUCGAUUCCUAGCUUGGCCA